rnacentral:rRNA from 1 species
GUCUACAGCCAUGCCACCCUGAAUGUGCCUGAUCUUGUCUGAUCUCGGAAGCUAAGCAGGGUCGGGCCUGGUUAGUACUUGGAUGGGAGAUCACCUAGGAAUACCAGGCGCUAUAGGCA